AACGAACGCUGGCGGCGUGCUUAACACAUGCAAGUCGAACGCGAAAGUGGUCUUCGGACUGCGAGUAGAGUGGCGCACGGGUGAGUAACGCGUAAAUAAUCUACCCUGAUGUCUGGAAUAAUUAGCCGAAAGGCUGACUAAUACGGGAUAGAUGUUUGCCUGUUGGGGCAAACAGGAAAGGUGGCCUCUAUUUAUAAGCUAUCGCAUUGGGAUGAGUUUGCGUACCAUUAGCUAGUUGGUGGGGUAAGAGCCCACCAAGGCGACGAUGGUUAGCGGGUCUGAGAGGAUGAUCCGCCACACUGGCACUGGAACACGGGCCAGACUCCUACGGGAGGCUG
rnacentral:rRNA from 1 species